UGGCUUCGACGGGUAGCCGGCCUGAGAGGGUGACCGGUCACACUGGGACUGAGACACGGCCCAGACUCCUACGGGAGGCAGCAGUGGGGAAUAUUGGACAAUGGGCGGAAGCCUGAUCCAGCAACGCCGCGUGAGGGAUGACGGCCUUCGGGUUGUAAACCUCUUUCAGUACCGACGAAGCGAAAGUGACGGUAGGUACAGAAGAAGCACCGGCCAACUACGUGCCAGCAGCCGCGGUAAUACGUAGGGUGCGAGCGUUGUCCGGAAUUAUUGGGCGUAAAGGGCUCGUAGGCGGUUUGUCGCGUCGGGAGUGAAAACGCCGUGCUUAACACGGCGCUUGCUUUCGAUACGGGCAGACUAGAGGUAUGCAGGGGAGAACGGAAUUCCUGGUGUAGCGGUGAAAUGCGCAGAUAUCAGGAGGAACACCGGUGGCGAAGGCGGUUCUCUGGGCAUGACCUGACGCUGAGGAGCGAAAGUGUGGGGAGCGAACAGGAUUAGAUACCCUGGUAGUCCACACCGUAAACGUUGGGCGCUAGGUGUGGGGUCCAUUCCACGGAUUCCGUGCCGCAGCUAACGCAUUAAGCGCCCCGCCUGGGGAGUACGGCCGCAAGGCUAAAACUCAAAGGAAUUUGACGGGGGCCCCGCACAAGCCGG
rnacentral:rRNA from 1 species